UACGAAGGGGGCUAGCGUUGCUCGGAAUUACUGGGCGUAAAGCGCACGUAGGCGGACUCUUAAGUCAGGGGUGAAAUCCUGGAGCUCAACUCCAGAACUGCCUUUGAUACUGGGAGUCUUGAGUUCGGGAGAGGUGAGUGGAACUGCGAGUGUAGAGGUGAAAUUCGUAGAUAUUCGCAAGAACACCAGUGGCGAAGGCGGCUCACUGGCCCGAUACUGACGCUGAGACGUGAAGGCGUGGGGAGCGAACGGG
rnacentral:rRNA from 1 species